UAGGGUCCGGUUUUGUCGAAGCCGGACGUGGAUUUACCGUAGUCUCUAGGGUCGAAGCAGUAAACCGGGACGACGGAGACGGAAUCGUUGUUGGCGGAGGUGAGGCACUCGUUGUCGUGAAUGCGGAGGUCGUUGCGGAACCAUACGACGGCGGCGCGGCGGAGUGCGGCGGCGCCGGAGGGGUUGGAUGGGCGGAGGGGGUUAAGAGUGAGAGUGUUCUGGAGAGGGUUGGCUGAGAUGGUGGAUUUGAAGAAGGCUUUUGGUUGGGGGAGGGAAGAGGAGAGAGAAAAGUGGGAGAGAGAGGAGAUUUGAGAUGGGAUUUUGAGUUUGUUUGAAGAAGCGGCGGCGAAUUGUUUGGGUGGGAGGAAAUGG
rnacentral:lncRNA from 1 species